rnacentral:rRNA from 1 species
UGGGGAAUAUUUGACAAUGGGCGAAAGCCUGAACCAGCCAUGCCGCGUGUGUGAAGAAGGUCUUCGGAUUGUAAAGCACUUUAAGUAGGGAGGAAGGGCAGUAAGCGAAUACCUUGCUGUUUUGACGUUACCGACAGAAUAAGCACCGGCUAACUCUGUGCCAGCAGCCGCGGUAAUACAGAGGGUGCAAGCGUUAAUCGGAAUUACUGGGCGUAAAGCGCGCGUAGGUGGUUCGUUAAGUUGGAUGUGAAAGCCCCGGGCUCAACCUGGGAACUGCAUCCAAAACUGGCGAGCUAGAGUAGGGCAGAGGGUGGUGGAAUUUCCUGUGUAGCGGUGAAAUGCGUAGAUAUAGGAAGGAACACCAGUGGCGAAGGCGACCACCUGGGCUCAUACUAACACUGAGGUGCGAAAGCGUGGGGAGCAAACAGG